ensembl:lncRNA
GCUGUCUGCUUUGUUAUAAACAGCUAAACAUUAGGUUAACUGAGCUGUUUGCUCGGUUAUAAACAUUAGGUUAACUGAGCUGUCUGCUUUGUUAUAAACAGCUAAACAUUAGAUUAACUGAGCUGUCUGCUCGGUUAUAAACAUUAGGUUAACUGAGCUGUCUACUGGGUCAUUAACAGCUAAACAUUAGGUUAACUGAGCUGUCUACUGGGUCAUUAACAGCUAAACAUUAGGUUAACUGAGCUGUCUGCUCGGUUAUAAACAUUAGGUUAACUGAGCUGUCUGCUCGGUUAUAAAGAUUAGGUUAACUGAGCUGUCUACUGAGUUAUAAACAUUAGGUUAACUGAGCUGUCUACUGGGUUAUAAACAUUAGGUUAACUGAGCUGUCUACUGGGUUAUAAACAUUAGGUUAACUGAGCUGUCUGCUUUGUUAUAAACAGCUAAACAUUAGAUUAACUGAGCUGUCUACUGGGUCAUAAACAGCUAAACAUUAGGUUAACUGAGCUGUCUACUGGGUCAUAAACAGCUAAACAUUAGGUUAACUGAGCUGUCUACUGGGUCAUAAACAGCUAAACAUUAGGUUAACUGAGCUGUCUACUGGGUCAUAAACAGCUAAACAUUAGGUUAACCGUACAAAGACAUACUGCUACUUGGUGAAUUCAUUUUUUUUUUAUAGUUAAACAUUUUAAAAAGUUAUCAGUUUUAGAUAAAACUAUACAAAAUAUAUUCAUGUCACCAAAUAAUUUAUUAAAACACACUGUUUUGUAAUGAAGGUCUACAUUAGCCUCAACAGCACUCUGUAGGGUAGCACCAUGCUGUAGCCGGAGGACAGCUAGCUUCUGUCCUCCUCUAUGUAGAUUGACUUUAAUACAAAACCUAGGAGGCUCGUGGUUCUCACCCCCUUCCAUAGACCUACAAAGUAAAUAUGACAACUUCCGAAGGACGCCCUCCAACCUAUCAGAGCUCUUGCGGAUUGAACUGACAUGUUGUCCGCCCAAUCAAAGGAUCAGAGAAUGAAUAUAUUACUGAAAGCAUAAGCUACAGCUAGCUAGCACUGCAGGAAAUAUAAUGUGUUGAGUAAUUGACUCAAAGAUAGAGAAAGACAAUAGUUGAACAGUUUAAUUUCUUCAAAAAUGAUGGAGAAGCAAGAGAGAGAGAGAGUUAGCUAUAUUUGAUUGUAUUUUUUAAAACUUUCACUUUCAUUUAGCUAGCAAAUGCAGCUAGCUAGUUUAGCCUACUCCAACACUCGGCUAAAACAGAGGGGGAUGUUAUGUUAGCUAGCUGGCUAUGGCUACCCAACAGAGGGGGAUGUUAUGUUAGCUAGCUGACUAUGGCUACCCAACAGAGGGGGAUGUUAUGUUAGCUAGCUGGCUGGCUAUGGCUACCCAACAGAGGGGGAUGUUAUGUUAGCUAGCUGGCUAUGGCUACCCAACAGAGGGGGAUGUUAUGUUAGCUAGCUGGCUGGCUAUGGCUACCCAACAGAGGGGGAUGUUAUGUUAGCUAGCUGGCUAUGGCUACCCAACAGAGGGGGAUGUUAUGUUAGCUAGCUGGCUAAGGCUAUCCAACACUGGAACACUUCCAAGUCAAGGUAAGCUUUUGGUUUUAUUCAUUUAUUGCCACCAGGGCCCUAUGGUGUAUCUGCUAAACUGCUUUCUGACUGUACACUGUACUGCAUGAUUGUAGUGGAUUUACUAACACGUUAGUUCUAGUGGCUAUGUUGACAAUAAUCACAUUUUAUUAGUCACAUACACAUUAUUAGCAUAUAUUCUAGAGAAAAUGUGUGGGCAGAACUGAAAAAGAGUGUGCGAGCAAGGAGGCCUACAAACCUGACUCAGCUACACCAGCUCUGCCAGGAGGAAUUGACCAAAAUUCACCCAACUUAUAGUGGGAAACUUGUGGAAGGCUACCCAAAACGUUUGACCCAAGUUAAACAAUUUAAAGGCAAUGCUACCAAAUACUAAUUGAGUUUAUGUAAACUUUUGACCCACUGGGAAUGUGAUGAAAGAAAUAAAAGCUGAAAUAAAUCACUCUACUAUUAUUCUGACAUUUCACAUUCUUAAAAUAAAGUUGUGAUCCUAACUCACCUAAGACAGGGAAUUUUUACUAGGAUUAAAUGUCAGGAAUUGUGAAAAACUGAGUUUAAAUGUAUUUGGCUAAGGUGUGUGUAAACUUCCAACUUGUGCGUGCCAACAACUGUAUCCCAGUCCGCGAUCAAAACAAUCUUGAAGCAUGGAUUCUGAUUGGCCAGACCAGCAUUGAACAGACGGUUAUUUCCUGUUUGAGUUUCUGCCUAUAGGAAGGGAGCAAAAUGGAGGUGUGAUCUGAUUUGCCAAAGGAAUGACGGUGGAGGGCCUUGUAUGCAUCCCGGAAGGGGGAGUAGCAGUGGUCGACCGUUCCGUUUUAGCAGCGUGUGUACUACAAUCAAUGUGUUGGUAGAACUUUGGUAGCGUUUUCCUCAAACUUGCUUUGUUAAAAUCCCCAGUUAUAAUAAAUGCAGUCUCGGGAUAUGUGGUUUCCAGUUUGCACAGUAUAGUUCCUUGGGGGCUGUUGUGGUAUCAGCUUGAGGGGGAACAUACACGGCCGUGACUGUAAACAAAGAGAAUUCUCUUAGGAGGUAAUACGGUCGGCAUUUGAUUGUGAGGUAUUCUAAGUCGGGUGAACAAAAGCAGUAGGGUAAAGUACUUAAGUAAAAAAUACUUUUUAAAGUACUACUUAAUUUGUUUUUUGGAGUAUCUGUAUUUAACUUUACUAUUUAUAUUUUUUACUACUUUUACUUUUACUCCACUACAUUCCUAAAGAAAAUAUUGUACUUUUUACUUAAUGUUUUCCCUGACACCCAAAAAUAUUUAUUACAUUUUGAAUGGUUAGCAGGACAGAAAAAUUGUCUAAUUCACACAAGAGAACAUCCCUGGUAAUCCCUACUGCCUCUGAUCUGGUGGACUCACCAAGUGUUGGAGCAUGCCCCUGGCUUUCUGUAAAUAAAAGAAAAAAUAAAAUUUUGCCACCUGGUUUGCUUCAUAUAAGCAAUUUGAAAAGAUGAAUACUUUACCUUUAACUUUU